UGCCUUUCGGUUUCGUAGGUGACCUGCGGAAGGAUCAUUAC
rnacentral:rRNA from 1 species